rnacentral:lncRNA from 1 species
AAUAAGCCAAAAUCAAAAUUUAGAAUAUGACCUUGACCUUUGACCUUGACCUUAUUUUCAUUUUUUUGGACCAAGGAUCUCAAAUCAAGAGACCCUAGGUCUCUAUCACUUAUGGUUUACCAGUUAGAAAUGCAUAUCACUUAUAUCAAAUGCAUAAGGGGAAAUAACUCUCAUAUGGAGUCUCCGGAUAGCUUCGGUCCAAAUGAAUAUCCUAAUCCUGAAGAUGUAACGAGCAAUUUGGUAAAAUAAAUUUGUCGUAAUCUUUUACGGUUGCGAAGGAGUAGUGGCCACAAGAAAAACAGUGUUUGGGGAGAUAACUCUUACAACGUAAAGUAUUUUGUUACGCAGUUGUAAAUUUUUAAAGCGUAUAAACUAUACGAUAUCAUAUUCCAAAUAUCUAAGCGACAUCUUUUGAAACAUCAAUACUACGCAAGAAAAAAAUUUAGGCGGAAGAAAAAAAAAAAAAAAAUAAUAAAUCAGAACAAAUACAAUAGGUCUUUCCACGGAAAAGUGGAAAGACCUAAUAAUAAUAAUCAGAACAAAUUCAAUAGGUCUUUCCACGGAAAGGUGGAAAGACCUAAUAAUCAG